rnacentral:ncRNA from 1 species
AUAAUUUAGGGGGCUGGGGGAAUUUUAAGGGCAAAAAGUUUAAUUUUUGCUUGGAAACUGAAUGUGAUUUUUUUUUGUAUGCAAAUUUCGUCUCUUUAAUAGGCCGAAAAAGCAGUGUUUAAAUUUGUGUGGUAAAGUCAUCUUUGAUUUAGAAAUAUUCAUUUUUACUGAUUAAAUUUGUGCCAGCAAUCGCGGUUAUACAUAUUAGUGAUUUUAGUUAUAUUAGUUUAGAAUUAUAAGAAUAUAAGUAUAUAAAUAUAAAAGUGGGUUUUUAGGUGAAGUUUUAAUUUUUAAUUAUUUUAUAUUUUGAUUUAGAAGUUUUAAAAUUUUUAUUUAAACUAGGAUUAGAUACCCUAUUAUUUUAAAUUUAAAAUAUUAAGCUUUAUUAUUAAUAGAUAAGUUCUUUAAAUUUAAAAAAUGUGGCGGUGUUUCAUUCUAUUUAGAGGAACCUGUCCUGUAAUUGACACUCCACGAUCUGAGGUACUUUAAUUAAUAGUUUGUAUACCGUUGUGUUUAGAUAUUUUAUUAGAGUAUAAUGUUUAAUAAGUUUAAGUUUAGGUGAAGUCAGAUCAAGGUGCAGUUUAUAUUAAAGUAGAGAUGGGUUACAUUAAAUGAAUUUCUGGAUUUUUAUUUUUAAUUGUGAGAAUAAAUUGGAUUUAAAAGUAAAUACUUAUUAAGUAGUUUUAUUGAAAAGAGUUUUGGAAUAUGUACAUAUCGCCCGUCGCUCUCAUAUUUAGUAGGGAUAAGUCGUAACAGAGUAGGUGUACUGGAAGGUGUACCUAGAAUGUU